CACACACAUAUUCUUAAAGGCACUACAAAAUUCUUGUUGCUGAUUGGUUUUCUUUUGUCGGAAUUCGCCUCAUAAUGAACGCUUCCCUCGGUGUCGCUGCGAAAGAAGGAGCCUUCCUCUCAAGGCGUUGGGACGCGAGAAGGAAAAAGGAACUUUUUAUUUUAAUUUCAUUUUAGUCCGCGUGGAGAGGCGAUAGUAGCCAGCUCCCGUCAGUCCCGAGCCGGGAAGUAAGAGAAACAACGCCGCCGCCGCCGCCGCCGCCACCUGCCUUGGGAAGAGAAGAAGACGACGAGACGCGCCCCCGACCCGCCUCCCACUGUUUCCCCCUCAGGAGGAGCGUCGAGCCAGGAGGCCGCCCUCUUUCGCUCUCCUUCCCGCCCUCCAUCGCUUCCCCCACCGGGCUCCUCCUCCUCCUUCCCCCGCCCGCCCUUCGGUGUGUGGCCCCGGCCGCCAUGUUGUUGUGGUUGUGAGGAGGGAGGCGGAGGCGCCGAGCCGCAGAGCCGAGGGGAAGGCGGCGGCAGAAGCAGCAGCGACGACGACGCCGAGGGGAAGCCGAGCGACCACCCCCCUCCGAGCCGCCGCCGCCGCCGCCGCCGCCGCGCCCCGUUGGGGGGUGGGGAGGAGGGACCCCCGCCAUGGCCGGCCGCUGCCACCGCCGCUGGGUAAGGAGGAGGAGGAGGAGGAAGAGAGGCGGCCGAGGAAGAGCAGCAGCAGCCCGAAUGGGAAGGGGGAAGGACGGCUGAGGAGCGGGGCCGGGGCCUGGCGUCUUAUUCCUCAGGCAGCUGCGGCCUGGCGUAUUCCGGAGUUGGGCCUUUUUCUCGGGCCGGAGGGGGGCGAGAGAGAGGAGGCACUUUCCACCCUUAUGGGGUCUUCGUGUCCCCCCACCCACCCCAAGGCUUCAGGGCCGCCGCUUCUCUGGGAUUCCUGUUUCUCUUCGCACUGCAACCUUUGUUUGUUUAAAGUCUUGCCCUUGUCAAAGAGAAGAAGAGGCCGUUUUGCGUUCUGUGUCCUCCGUUGUUGUUGUUUGUUGCUGCUGCAGGGUUUUUGCUGUUAGCGUUGCCCUCUCUUAUCGCCAGUGUGUCAGGGUUGCCCUCCCUGGGUAAUAAGAAGCGUUGGUAAAUAAUAACGGAGGGCAGGGCUAAUAGGGAUACUUAAUAAUGAAUGGUGGUGGUAAAUAAGUCGCCCUGCUGCUUGGUUUUUUAAUAUUAGAGUUGUUUAGAGCGCUGCUGCUUCUCACAGUCCUUUUUUUUGGGGGGGGGGGAGAAUAAGUGUGGAGGUAGCUGCUGGUGGUGGUCUUGGGACCUCUCAGUCUUACUACAUCGUGUUAUAGAUACAAUAUGUUUUAUCCAGUGCUGCUCGGAAUAAACCUACUGAGAUUAAUGGACCGAAAUUAGUCGUGCCAAUUUAUUUCUAUGAGUUUGCUUGGAGUUGACACUAGAUACAACCGUGUUUGUGUGUGUGUGUGUGUGUGUGUGUGUGUGUAUGUGUAUACUAUCUCAUAUGGGGAUAACAGCUCUGUAAGGUAGGUCAGUGUUAUUGUGAAUGGGGGUGAGGCAGGUCAUGGGACAGAAUAACUGCUAGCCUAAGCCUGCCUGAUGAGUUUGUGGCCAAGGUGAAAACUGAAUCUGGACUCUUCUGUCUUGCUUAGGAGCAUGAAGCCUGCUCCUGUGCCUCUCUUUAUUCUGGAGUAAAGUCCCACUGAAUUCAGUAGGGCUUACCCCCAUAAAUAAGUGGGUAAAUUUACUUGAAAGUAAGGCUUGCUGUAUUCUGUGGGACGUAGUUUCAAGGAAGCAUACACGGGUCCCAAAUUUUGGCCUCUUAACUCUUGCUCAACUGCAUGGGACAUUUGAGGAACAUAAACAUACGUGUAAGUAAAUGCAAGGUGUACUUGGCUUCCCUUUGGCUGGGUGCACCCAUGUUUUAGGCCUGAGACCAAUUUGUGUGGCAGAAGAUUGAGUUUGUUAACCCCCCCCUUUCCUCCCAUAUUGUGUGUUUCUCCUUUUCCCUUUUAACCCUGGAUCUGAUAUUUUGGUUUUUUCCUCACCUUCCUGUAUGUUGUCUUCCUGCCCCCAGUUUAAUGUUAUCAUCAGCACACAGUCAUCUUUGUUCUCCACAAUAAUUAAUAUCCAAAGUAACUCCCAAUUUAUGCUUCCAUCCUUGCCAUCACCAUGCAGAUUAGACCACACUGAAAAGGGUGUACAGAAAAUCCACCCAUUUGUGUCUCUGUAAUCUGCUAUGAGUAUGAUUUGGUGAUUGAAGCAGUGCUGUAAAUAACCACUUACCAGGUUACCUGUGGCAAGUGUAAAUUGCCUCCGGAGACUAGCAAAGGAGCAUGACAAAAGUUGGCUUUUAAUAUUGUGAAGACCACAAAUGACUAGACACAAAGAUGUGUGCCCUUACUGGGUUUGGGUUAACUUUUGUAGAUUUUGAUAUGCAAGCUAAAGGGAUACUGGGGGAGCAUUUAAUCUCUUUUAAGUGAUCUUGGGAAUGUCCUCAGGUGAGACCUUUUAAAUCUCACACCCCUUAUGGUAUGCAUGUGUGUAAUGGAUAAGUUUCGUGAUAUUUCCAUUCCUCCUCAUACUGCACAACUGUUUGCAAGGUUGCUGGUGCUACCCACUGCACGUGGGUGACUUUUGUAUGAGAUAUGGUCAGUAUUGUGUGGGAUACCUGCAUAUGAAAAUAAUUAAGACCAUUGUGAGGAAGCCUGGGUUAAUCACCAUCUUUCCCACCCCUGUAUCCUUCACCUUUCCAAAGGACUACAACAUCCCUUUAUUGGUUCAGAGUUUGUCUCUGUAUUCAGAUAUAGAGGUUUAUCUUUCUACUCCCCUGAUGUAUUAAACUAGGUUUUACCUAAAGUGGAUAGAGACAUAGAACUGAGAACAUGAAAUUUUCUGUAGAAAGACUGGAUUUUACCACUGCAGGGGUGUGACUAGAAAGUCAGAAUGAUGAUUUCAGAAUUAUUGUUGUGUCAUGGGACUCUGUUUUUACCUUUUCUGAUGCAAGUUGUGUUGGAGACUAUGUUCCAUUUGUGGUGUUCUAGAUAUGGGGUGUGGUGUGCCAUGCUGAGUUGGCUAGACACUGUUAUGUGAUUGCUUGCAGGUUUACAGGAGCUCGACUUGAGUUUGGUUCUGGACUUGAAGCACUUCUUUCAUCUUGAAAGUUGGCAGUGGUUGCUAAUUUCAGGUUUUCUUGCAUAUAAUAUACUGUCGCUGGAAUUUGUUGUUUUUGAAGGCCAUUUCAUUCUAUACUUGUUACUAUAAGCUUCACAAUCUCUUCCAGAUCUGUCUGUCUAGCUGUAAAGGAGGAUUUUUUCCAAAAUCAUUCACCACCAGCACAAUCCUAACCAUGUCUACUCAGAAGGAAGUUCUAUUGCAUUCAGUGGGCUUACUUCCAAGUAAGUGCAGCUAGGAUUGCAGCCACAGAUGUUUCUAUAUCUUUGCUUGGGAGCUGAAGGGAUGGUGCUGGUGUUACUACAAUGGUCUUGAGUGAUUCAAUUGUACAGUAUUUCUAAGGCUGCAGUCUUAUGCACACUGACCAGAGUGUUAGCCUAAUUCAACAAAGUGACACUUCCAACUAAACAAGCAUAGGAUUGAGCUGCAGGCUUCAAGUUCAAUGGAAAUCUGUCAAUUAACUAAUGGACAUCCCUUGGAAAUUCAGCUUCAGAUCUAAGUGACCAGUGCCCUUUAAAAGCUGUAUUGUGCUGAGAAAACAUGUGGGAUAGAGAAGGCCCGGCUUUCUCUCCCUUGUCCAGUGUCCACCAUGAGUGGAAUGUGUAUGUGAGGAUGGGGGUUGCUUGCCCUGGGCUGCCAGGAAGGUAUUGGAUAUAUCCACUGUGUAGGUGCAUGCUAUUUAAAUGUCCAACAUUGCUUCCACAUUAUCUUAUCUCUACUACUUAUUGUGACAUGAUGAAUGGUCACUGCUGCUUCACUCCUCCUCCAUCUGCUGCGUCAUUAAUCCAGAACUGGAAUGUGUUCUAUCAGUACUUUACAUAUGGAUACAUGGAGGGGUUUGAAUAUUUCAGAAGUGUAGGUGAAGUGGAACAUCAGAGUGAUGAAAAGUACUGAGUGUUGUAUAGAAAAAUUUCUCAAAGUUUCAUGCGACAGAGGGCAGGUAGAUAUAGGAACAUUGCCAGGUUUUGAAGGAGUAAUGAUAUAUGGCAACUCCCCUCCCUGUGCCUAAUGCCCUCCACUUGUUGUGGACUACAACUCUCAUCAUUCCCAGUCAUUGACCAUGCAGGUUGGGACUGAUGGGAGUUAGGCUCCCAAAAAACUAUCUGGAGGGAACAGUUGGGGAAUGUUAAUACAGUAUGUGGAAUUUGAGAACUGCCUGGUGUGGAGUAGGCACAUAGCUUCAGGUGGUUGGGUAUUUCUUGGUUAGUAGAAGACUGAAGAAUGGAACUGCAGUCUGCUGUGUCAUUUUGUGUGGCAGCAAGCAAAGCAUCUCCUAAUGCAUAUUGCCAUGCUAAGCUGUGUAUUGAGACUGUAAACUGCAGAGGUGUUUAAGGCAAGGGGGGAAGCCAAGAUUAAUGCAAAAGAGAUACUUAAUGUCCAAGGACAACAUUGCAGGUGGUUGUUAUGCAUAUGAGAAUAAAUAAUCAAGUAUGAGGAAAGAAGGCACUCCACCUUUGAUACUUCAGGUAAAAUUUGCAGCUUGUUAAAGAAUGAUUCCAGCUGCUUUUAAACUGCUUGCACUAGGUGUGCUUAAUGGAUUUGACUAAAGUUUUAAAUCUUCAAAAAUUAUGUUACUAAGUUUUGGAUUUUCCCAGAACAUGGGAAGUUGCAUUAUGCAGAGUCUAUUUCAGAUGGGUUUCAGGGAGGAGUCUUUCUUAGUCCUAGUUGAAGAUAUUGAGGAUUGAACCUGGGAUCUUUCACAUCCAAAGCAUGUGCACUACUACUGAGCUGUGGCCCUGAGUAAAUCCCAUGAAGAUGCUUUGCAGCUCACUGGCUAUAAAAUAGCAAACACUGUUGUUACAGGGAAGAUUUGCCACUUGGCUUCUUGUACCAUGUUUAGGGCUUUAGGCAGGUUUUAGCAAUAUCUGUUGCUUGAGAUGGCUAGUAGUAGUGGGUUUGUGCAUACCUGAAUCAGAACCUUGUUUAUGGCACACAAAAUUUAUUUUCCAGAAAAAUAUCCUGUAGAAAACAAGAGUCAUCUAUUUUCACAAAAGUAAAACCAACCAGCCAACCAACCAACCUGUAUGCAUAACUUGUACAAGCUGGCAUGCUGCAUGCCAUGGGUAGCCAAAGUGGUGCCCUGCAGAUGUUUUGGACUACAACUCACAUCCCUUAUCAUUGGAUUUGCUGCUGGGAGCUGUAGUCCAAAACAUUUGCAGGGUACCAUGUUGGCUAGCUCUGUUGUAUUUUUUUUUAAAUAAUUUUUAUUAACAGGCCAAUCAAAUCACAUUAAUUCCAAAUCACAUUAGUUCCAAAUUAUACAGCCAAAUUUUUAAAAUUUUGUUGGGGGUACCCAUACUUCGAGCUCCGAAAGGGAUCCAAACAUCACUCUUGCUGCUGCUUUAAUGACACAAUUCUGUCCAGUUCUGUCCAGAUAGUCUCUUUGUUAUUUUCUUCAUCUUCUUGUUGUUAUCAUAUAUUCCUUUCUUUGUGAUCUCUGAUAAUCUUCACAAGCGGGUGGCUAGCUCUGUUGUAAGCCAUACAGUGUAGCAUAUCACCUGGCACCAGAAUUCCUCACUGAGGGAGAAGAGGACUGAAAGUGAAUAAAAGAAUCAUGCCAUACUUUCAUUUAGAUCAUACAGGACUUUCUUAUGGUAUCGGCGAUGCAGACGUUUGUUUAGUUUGUUCCAGUUUACCAAUCUUUCCUUCAGUUUAUUUGCACAAACUUGAGGCUGUUAGCUUGGAUGCCAGAAUAACUUGGGGUUGCCAACACACAACGGAGGGAAAGGGAGCCUUCUCUGCCCAGGCUCCAAUGUGCACUUCUUAUUUAUUCAUUUAUUUCAUUUAUGACUCGCUUCCCAAGAAACAUCCUAACAUCAAAAACAUAACCAAUUUCAAAUUUAAUACAAAUUGGGAUAAAAAUCCCCACUUAAAAGUCUUGUUGAAAAAGGAAGAUCUGAAAAGACAGUAGUAGGACUUAUCCUUUCUGACAUGUAACGGGAGGGAGCUCCAAAGGGUAGGUGCUGCCAUACUAAAUUCCUGAUUUCUACCUUGUAUAGAACAGACCCUGUGAUGAGAUGAUCAUGGUUUGAGUCAACCAGUUUAGCACCCAGGGUGUGAGCUUCCAGGCAAACCAUUGCUUGUAGCUGUGUUUCCUUUAAUUUCCAGUACACUAAGCACUUCACAAGUUGAUUCCUGUCUCUGGAAGCAGUGGUGUGAUUGUGUAACUAUGGUUUGUCAGUUCAGAUAUCAUGCCCAUCAUUCAUUAAUUAUGUGUGAUGCCAGAAUUGAACCCUAUGCUGAACUUUGAAAAUAAGUUUCUCCUGUAAGAGAGAAUUUUGCUUCUUGUAUGGCUAAUACAGUAUACACAUACUGACUAGAGAAGCCUUUCUCAAACUUGAGUCCCCAGAUGUUCGACUACAACUCUCAUCAUUCCUAGCCAGCAUGGCCAGUGGUCAGGGAUGACGGGAGUUGUAGUUCAAGAACAUCUGGGAACCCAAGGUUGAGAAAGGCUAGACUAGAGUGUUGUGUUUCAGGUCGGUUAUCAUAAGGGGAAAAGAAAGAUGAGACUCAUUGCUUCAUUCUCUUUCCUAGGUGAUUUUUGAUCCAUAAGCAAAUCACAUCCUGGGUAGGAUAUUUUAUUAGGGAUGUGAUGAUGUAAUCAGAUCUCAAGAAGGUCUUUUAAGGAGUGCAGAAUCCUAGGCAAACAUUAUAGCUAAGGUGUUCCUCGUAGAGGAGAACAUGCUUCUAGCUGAUUUGAACACUUUAAAGUAUGCGGUUGUGACUUUACACCCAGGAGCACAGCAUAUAAUUCUCACUGUUCUGUAAAGUGCUUGUCUGUGCAUUGUGACAUCAUCUGAUUUAAAAUGGGGAGAGAGAAGCUGUUAUUCCAAAUUCCAUUUUCAGAGUCUGGGAAUAAUAGCCUCAACUGGUAUUUGCACAUGUAUUUUCCUGCUUGUACAAGCCAGGCAAGUAGGCUUUGUUUGUCAUAUCAUGUUUUUAAAGACUUGAGAUCUCAGGAAUCUCCAGUUAGAGUGGGAAACAAUUCUGUGUGGAACCCUGGGGAGAGACUGUUACUCUGAGUAGACAGUAUUGAAUUUGGUGGACUAGUAGUCUGACUUGGUUUAAGGGAAGUGGUUCCUGCCUUCUGUUAACUGCCCUAUGCAUGGCAAGUGGAAGCUAUAGUGUUGACCAGGAGAUCAUGUCUAAUUACCUGGGAGGGGAAUGAAAAUGCUAUAAAAAUGUAAUGGGUUAAAGUAUGUUUUCUUUAAUCCCAAUUCCGUCCUUCACUCUCAUUUUUUUUGCAUGGUUGUUUGUUGAAAAUAAACAAUCAAGCAAAUUGGGAGGCAUGCAAACAAUUUAAACAUUAGCCAAAACAUUACAUCCAG